rnacentral:lncRNA from 1 species
AGAAUUUUGAGGUUAUGACUAGAGCUAAAUCUCUUCGGACAUUCUUAGAAGUGAAGUUAAUCGGAAACCUACCUUGGUAUUAUUUGAGUAAAAGGGUUUUACAAGAUAUAUUACCAAAAAUGUGGUGUUUACGUGUGUUAUCAUUAUGUGCAUAUGCAAUAACUGAUUUGCCUAAAUCGAUAGGUAAUUUGAAACAUUUGCGUUACUUGGAUUUGUCUUUCACGAUGAUUAAAAAUUUACCUGAAUCAAUAUGUUGUUUAUGCAAUUUACAAACGAUGAUGCUGAGAAAAUGUUCAAAACUUGAUGAAUUGCCUUCAAAGAUGGGAAAAUUGAUUAAUUUGCGCUAUCUUGAUAUUGAUGGAUGUGGUUCAUUGAGAGAAAUGUCAAGUCAUGGAAUUGGUCGAUUAAAAAGUUUACAAAGGUUGACUCAAUUUAUUGUGGGCCAAAACGAUGGAUUAAGAAUUGGAGAAUUGGGGGAGCUGUUAGAGAUUCGAGGAAAACUUUGUAUUUCAAACAUGGAGAAUGUGGUGAGUGUCAAUGAUGCAUCAAGGGCUAAUAUGAAGGAUAAAAGUUAUCUUGAUGAGUUAAUCUUUGAUUGGGGUGACGAGUGUACCAAUGGUGUUACACAAAGUGGUGCAACAACGCAUGAUAUACUCAACAAGUUACAACCUCAUCCAAAUUUAAAACAACUCUCCAUCACAAACUAUCCUGGUGAAGGAUUUCCAAAUUGGCUUGGAGAUCCUUCAGUGCUGAAUCUCGUGUCCCUUGAGCUUCGGGGUUGUGGCAAUUGCUCAACAUUGCCACCACUUGGACAACUAACCCAGCUUAAAUAUCUGCAAAUCUCAAGGAUGAAUGGAGUAGAGUGUGUGGGUGAUGAGUUCUAUGGGAAUGCUUCCUUUCAAUUCCUAGAAACACUAUCAUUUGAGGAUAUGAAGAAUUGGGAGAAAUGGUUAUGUUGUGGAGAAUUCCCUCGUCUCCAAAAGCUUUUUAUACGAAAGUGUCCCAAACUCACUGGGAAAUUACCAGAACAACUUCUUUCAUUGGUGGAACUUCAAAUUCGUGAAUGUCCGCAGCUGCUUAUGGCUUCACUCACAGUUCCUGCAAUUUGUCAAUUGAGGAUGAUGGAUUUUGGUAAACUGCAGUUGCAAAUGGCAGGUUGUGACUUCACAGCUCUUCAAACUUCAGAAAUUGAAAUUUUAGAUGUGUCUCAGUGGAGUCAACUUCCAAUGGCACCACACCAGCUCUCAAUUAGAGAAUGUGAUUAUGCGGAGUCUCUGCUAGAGGAGGAAAUCUCGCAAACCAACAUACAUGAUCUGAAAAUCUAUGAUUGUAGUUUUUCUAGAUCCCUGCACAAAGUUGGUUUACCCACUACACUGAAAUCACUAUUCAUCUCUGAAUGCUCGAAAUUAGCGUUUCCCCUACCUGAGUUGUUCAGAUGUCAUCUCCCAGUCCUUGAAAGUCUAAAAAUCAAACAUGGUGUUAUCGAUGAUUCUCUCUCGUUAUCCUUCUCAUUAGGCAUCUUCCCCAAGUUGACUCAUUUCACAAUCGAUGGUCUUAAGGGGCUUGAGAAGCUCUCGAUUUUGGUUUCAGAGGGUGAUCCCACAUCUUUAUGUUCCCUGUCUCUAGAUGGUUGCCCUGAUCUUGAAUCUAUCGAAUUGCACGCUCUCAACUUGGAGUCUUGUUCGAUUUAUAGGUGCUCCAAGCUCAGGUCGUUGGCACACAGACAGUCAUCUGUACAGAAGUUGAAUUUAGGGUCUUGUCCAGAAUUGUUGUUUCAGAGAGAGGGUUUGCCUUCCAACCUACGUAACCUUGGAAUUACCGAUUUCACGCCCCAGGUGGAGUGGGGUUUGCAAAGGCUGACCUCUCUUACUCAUUUCACAAUCGAAGGUGGAUGUGAAGACAUUGAAUUAUUUCCCAAGGAGUGUUUGCUGCCCUCUUCUCUGACUUCUCUUGAAAUUGAAUCAUUUCCCGAUCUCAAGUCUCUUGACAGUGGGGGUCUUCAACAGCUCACCUCUCUUCUAAAAUUAAAGAUCAACCACUGCCCAGAGCUCCAGUUCUCGACAGGAUCGGUUUUUCAACACCUUAUCUCUCUAAAACGAUUAGAAAUUUAUGGAUGCUCGAGGCUCCAAUCAUUGACAGAAGCGGGUCUUCAACACCUCACCUCUCUUGAAAAAUUGGAGAUCGCAAACUGCCCAAUGCUCCAAUCCUUGACAAAAGUGGGUCUUCAACACCUCACCUCUCUUAAAACACUAGGGAUCAAUAACUGCCGAAUGCUCCAAUCCUUGACAGAAGUGGGUCUUCAACACCUCACCUCUCUUGAAAGUUUGUGGAUCAAUAACUGCCCAAUGCUCCAAUCCUUGACAAAAGUGGGUCUUCAACACCUCACCUCUCUUGAAAGUUUGUGGAUCAAUAAGUGCUCAAUGCUCCAAUCCUUGACAAAAGUGGGUCUUCAACACCUCACCUCUCUCAAAACAUUGCGGAUCUAUGACUGUAGUAAGCUCAAAUACUUGACAAAAGAGAGACUUCCAGACUCCCUCUCUUAUCUGUUCAUCUACAAAUGUCCUUUACUGGAAAAACGGUGUCAAUUUGAGAAAGGGGAAGAAUGGCGUUAUAUAGCUCACAUUCCAAAUAUAGAGAUCAAUGGUGUGCUAUAUUAAUCAAAGUGCCACUCCGCCAAUAUAGAGUCAGGUAAUUCUUUUGCGCUUGAACUUUUCUUUCAAGUUCCAAUUCAUUCGCUAGUCCUGUUUAUUUGAUUUAAGAUUUUCUUUUUCUUGAAGCUUCAAGCCUGAAACAAAUAUUGAACACAUUUUCAUGCUCUGUUUUGAUUUGGUGGUUUGCAAAAAUAACCAUUUAUAACCAUUGAAAAAAUAAGAAAAAAUAACAAAGAACCAUGGAUAUUUCGUUUGUUUGUAUUUUAUUUUCU